rnacentral:rRNA from 1 species
AACGAACGCUGGCGGCAUGCCUAACACAUGCAAGUCGAACGAGACCUUCGGGUCUAGUGGCGCACGGGUGCGUAACGCGUGGGAACCUGCCCUUAGGUUCGGAAUAACUCCCCGAAAGGGGUGCUAAUACCGGAUAAUGUCUUCGGACCAAAGAUUUAUCGCCUUUGGAUGGGCCCGCGUUGGAUUAGCUAGUUGGUAGGGUAAAAGCCUACCAAGGCGACGAUCCAUAGCUGGUCUGAGAGGAUGAUCAGCCACACUCGGACUGAGACACGGCCCAGACUCCUACGGGAGGCAGCAGUGGGGAAUAUUGGACAAUGGGCGAAAGCCUGAUCCAGCAAUGCCGCGUGAGUGAUGAAGGCCUUAGGGUUGUAAAGCUCUUUUACCCGGGAUGAUAAUGACAGUACCGGGAGAAUAAGCUCCGGCUAACUCCGUG